rnacentral:rRNA from 1 species
AGUGAACGCUGGCGGUAGGCCUAACACAUGCAAGUCGAACGGCAGCACAGUAAGAGCUUGCUCUUACGGGUGGCGAGUGGCGGACGGGUGAGGAAUACAUCGGAAUCUACUUUUUCGUGGGGGAUAACGUAGGGAAACUUACGCUAAUACCGCAUACGACCUACGGGUGAAAGCAGGGGAUCUUCGGACCUUGCGCGAUUGAAUGAGCCGAUGUCGGAUUAGCUAGUUGGCGGGGUAAAGGCCAACCAAGGCGACGAUCCGUAGCUGGUCUGAGAGGAUGAUCAGCCACACUAGAACUGAGAACCGGUCCAGACUCCUACGGGAGGCAGCAGUGGGGAAUAUUGGACAAUGGGCGCAAGCCUGAUCCAGCCAUACCGCGUGGGUGAAGAAGGCCUUCGGGUUGUAAAGCCCUUUUGUUGGGAAAGAAAAGCAGCAGGUUAAUACCCCGCUGUUCUGACGGUACCCAAAGAAUAAGCACCGGCUAACUUCGUG